rnacentral:rRNA from 1 species
GAUGAACGCUGGCGGCAGGCCUAACACAUGCAAGUCGAGCGAGCGGCGGACGGGUGAGUAAGGUCUGGGAAACUGCCUGAUGGAGGGGGAUAACUACUGGAAACGGUAGCUAAUACCGCAUACCCUCGGCUUGGCCCAGAGGGGAUUAGCUGGUGGGUGGGGUAACGGCUCACCUAGGCGACGAUCCCUAGCUGGUCUGAGAGGAUGACCAGCCACACUGGAACUGAGACACGGUCCAGACGCCUACGGGAGGCAGCAGUGGGGAAUAUUGCACAAUGGGCGCAAGCCUUAUGCAGCCAUGCCGCGUGUGUGAAGAAGGCCUUCGGGUUGUAAAGCACUUUCAGCGGGGAGGCGUUACCCGCAGAAGAAGCACCGGCUAACUCCGUGCCAGCCGCCGCGGUAAUAC